UGCCAGCAGCCGGGUAAUACGUAGGCACCAAGCGUUGUUCGGAAUUACUGGGCGUAAAGCGAGUGUAGGCGGUUCGCCAAGUCGGUCGUGAAAUCUCCCGGCUCAACUGGGAGGCUGCGGUCGAAACUGGUGGGCUAGAGUACGGAAGGGGAGAGUGGAAUUCCUGGUGUAGCGGUGAAAUGCGUAGAUAUCAGGAGGAACACCGGUGGUGAAGACGGCUCUCUGGUCCGACACUGACGCUGAGACUCGAAAGCGUGGGGAGCAAACAGGAUUAGAUA
rnacentral:rRNA from 1 species